rnacentral:rRNA from 1 species
GAGUUUGAUCCUGGCUCAGGAUGAACGCUGGCGGCGUGCCUAAUACAUGCAAGUCGAGCGAACAGAUAAGGAGCUUGCUCCUUUGACGUUAGCGGCGGACGGGUGAGUAACACGUGGGUAACCUACCUAUAAGACUGGGAUAACUUCGGGAAACCGGAGCUAAUACCGGAUAACAUUUGGAACCGCAUGGUUCUAAAGUGAAAGAUGGUUUUGCUAUCACUUAUGGAUGGACCCGCGGCGUAUUAGCUAGUUGGUGAGGUAAUGGCUCACCAAGGCUGUGAUACGUAGCCGACCUGAGAGGGUGAUCGGCCACACUGGGACUGAGACACGGCCCAGACUCCUACGGGAGGCAGCAGUAGGGAAUCUUCCACAAUGGGUGCAAACCUGAUGGAGCAAUACCGCGUGAGUGAAGAAGGUCUUCGGAUCGUAAAGCUCUGUUGUUAGAGAAGAACAAGCCGGGUAGUAACUGCCCCGGCCUUGACGGUAUCUAACCAGAAAGUCACGGCUAACUACGUGCCAGCAGCCGCGGUAAUACGUAGGUGGCAAGCGUUAUCCGGAAUUAUUGGGCGUAAAGCGCGCGUAGGCGGUUUCUUAAGUCUGAUGUGAAAGCCCACGGCUCAACCGUGGAGGGUCAUUGGAAACUGGGAAACUUGAGUGCAGAAGAGGAAAGUGGAAUUCCAUGUGUAGCGGUGAAAUGCGCAGAGAUAUGGAGGAACACCAGUGGCGAAGGCGACUUUCUGGUCUGUAACUGACGCUGAUGUGCGAAAGCGUGGGGAUCAAACAGGAUUAGAUACCCUGGUAGUCUACGCCGUAAACGAUGGUUACUAGCUGUUCGGCCCGAUUAAGGGCUGAGUGGUUAAGCGAAAGUGAUAAGUAACCCACCUGGGGAGUACGUUCGCAAGAAUGAAACUCAAAGGAAUUGACGGGGGCCCGCACAAGCGGUGGAGCAUGUGGUUUAAUUCGAUGCAACGCGAAGAACCUUACCUACUCUUGACAUCCUGCGAAUUUGGUAGAGAUACCUUAGUGCCUUCGGGAACGCAGAGACAGGUGCUGCAUGGCUGUCGUCAGCUCGUGUUGUGAAAUGUUGGGUUAAGUCCCGUAACGAGCGCAACCCUUGUCCUUAUUUGCCAGCGCGUAAUGGCGGGAACUCUAAGGAGACUGCCGGUGACAAACCGGAGGAAGGUGGGGACGACGUCAAGUCAUCAUGGCCCUUACGAGUAGGGCUACACACGUGCUACAAUGGUCGGUACAAAGGGUUGCCAACUCGCGAGAGUGAGCCAAUCCCGAAAAGCCGAUCUCAGUCCGGAUCGGAGUCUGCAACUCGACUCCGUGAAGUCGGAAUCGCUAGUAAUCGUGGAUCAGAAUGCCACGGUGAAUACGUUCCCGGGCCUUGUACACACCGCCCGUCACACCAUGGGAGUGGACUGCACCAGAAGUGGUUAGCCUAACGCAAGAGGGCGAUCACCACGGUGUGGUUCAUGACUGGGGUGAAGUCGUAACAAGGUAACC